CUCUUUUGGAGUUUGUUCUUCUUGGAGCGUUCUUAGUGAGCCUGGGACAAGGCACCCAGGAAAAAGGAGGAGUUUUACAGCUUGGGAAGAAUCUUUCACCAAAAACAUGACUUUGCCUAUUCAGAAAUAACACUGACAGAGGCAGCAACACUGUGAGCUUCCCAAUGUGCUCUUCUCUCUGGGCAGUCUGGACAGGAGGUGUCCAAGCACCCACCCU